ACACAUGCAGUCGAGCGGGCCCUUCGGGGUCAGCGGCGGACGGGUGAGUAACGCGUGGGAACGUGCCUUCUGGUUCGGAAUAACCCUGGGAAACUAGGGCUAAUACCGGAUACGCCCUUUUGGGGAAAGGUUUACUGCCGGAAGAUCGGCCCGCGUCUGAUUAGCUAGUUGGUGGGGUAACGGCCUACCAAGGCGACGAUCAGUAGCUGGUCUGAGAGGAUGAUCAGCCACACUGGGACUGAGACACGGCCCAGACUCCUACGGGAGGCAGCAGUGGGGAAUAUUGGACAAUGGGCGCAAGCCUGAUCCAGCCAUGCCGCGUGAGUGAUGAAGGCCUUAGGGUUGUAAAGCUCUUUUAUCCGGGACGAUAAUGACGGUACCGGAGGAAUAAGCCCCGGCUAACUUCGUGCCAGCAGCCGCGGUAAUACGAAGGGGGCUAGCGUUGCUCGGAAUCACUGGGCGUAAAGGGCGCGUAGGCGGCGUUUUAAGUCGGGGGUGAAAGCCUGUGGCUCAACCACAGAAUGGCCUUCGAUACUGGGACGCUUGAGUAUGGUAGAGGUUGGUGGAACUGCGAGUGUAGAGGUGAAAUUCGUAGAUAUUCGCAAGAACACCGGUGGCGAAGGCGGCCAACUGGACCAUUACUGACGCUGAGGCGCGAAAGCGUGGGGAGCAAACAGGAUUAGAUACCCUGAUGAUUCUCACCGCCA
rnacentral:rRNA from 1 species